AACAAACUCUCCUCUUCCUCUAUUACAGGGGUUCCCAAUUAAUUUUUUUGUGGAACCCUUUGACAUAGUAUACCAACAUUAUGGAACACUUUGACAUAGUAUACCAACAUCAUGGAACCCUUUGACAUAGUAUACCAACAUCAUGGAACCCUUUGACAUAGUAUACCAACAUCAUGGAACCCUUUGACAUAGUAUACCGACAUCAUGGAACCCUUUGACAUAGUAUACCAACAUUAUGAAAC